UAGAAAACCCCAGGCAGAGCUGAAGACAGUGACAGAAGGGAUUAUUGCUUCUGAAGAAGAAAAAAAUGAUUACAAGUACAACUUCUUUCUCGUUCAUAGGCAAACUUGUUAAAGAUGUAACCUCUUCCCAUUGGCUUCAGCAGGCCUCUACUGCAAGACCCUCUCAAAG